rnacentral:rRNA from 1 species
GGGUCAGUAGGUUGGUCGUGCCACCGGUACGUACUGGUCUAACUGAUCCCUCCUUCCUGAAGAACCGUAAUGCCAUUAAUUUGGUGUUGCGGGGAAACAGGACUGUUACUUUGAAAAAAUUAGAGUGUUUAAAGCAAGCUAACGCUUGAAUACAUUAGCAUGGAAUAAUGAAAUAGGACGAUCGAUCCUAUUUUGUUGGUUUCUAGGAUUGACGUA